rnacentral:rRNA from 1 species
AUUGAACGCUGGCGGCAGGCCUAACACAUGCAAGUCGAGCGAGCGGCGGACGGGUGAGUAAUGUAUGGGGACUGCCCGAUAGAGGGGGAUAACUACUGGAAACGGUAGCUCAUACCGCAUACAAUCGGAUAACCCAUAUGGGAUUAGCUAGUAGGUGAGGCAAUGGCUAACCUAGGCGACGAUCCCUAGCUGGUCUGAGAGGAUGAUCAGCCACACUUGGACGGAGACACGGCCCCGACUCCUACGGAGGCAGCAGUGAGGAAUAUUGCACGAGGGACGCGAGCCUGAUGCAGCCAUGCCGCGUGUAUGAAGAAGGCCCUAGGGUUGUAAGGUACUUUCAGUCGGGAGGCGUUACCGGCAGAAGAAGCACCGGCUAACUCCGUGCCAGCAGCCGCGGUAAUAC